GCGGCCAUGCGUCCCCUCUCCUGUUGCGCUCUCGUCCGUCUCCACAAUUUGUGCAGACCAAAGACAAAGUAAGAGUGUGCUGAAAGAAGAAAUUGACCUACUUAAGGUGGAACCAAACGAAGGCGAAGUGGAUCUAGAAAGAAGCAUUUAACGACUGGCCGCACCAGACCAAACCGUAGCAGAACUCAACUGAAGGCAACCGCGGUCGCAAUGAGUCAGCAGGAAUGCAGUCUAUCAGAUGAUGAAAAGCAGAAGGAAUCCCUUCUCAGAGAGUGAAAUACGAAACUGGUGCUUUCAAAUAUUUUAAGAUCUGAUUUACAUGCAUUAGCAUGGAUAUUUCCAAUGCGACCUUAAUCCUGAUAUGUGGUUUUGCAUUUUUUUUACAAACAAUGUUGCAAUGGUUGAUCUAUGAUUCAUUUUUGUUGUGAAACAAGUUUCUAGCCCCAAUCAUUUUCACAUGACAUUUUAGACAAGAAAAUAGUUCUCCAUGUAGCUCAAUCUUCAUGUUUAAAAUAUCGUGUGUAUUUAACUGGAGGGACUAUCACUUAUAAGCCCAAGAAUAGCUUCCUUGCAAUUUUUCUAUAUGAGUUGCAUCUUAUAUUUUUUUAAAGUAUACAAAAUAAUAAUACACCUGUAUAACAGCGACAUGAGGAACACAACGCGCGAAGGACACGUGAGAUACUAGUUCUAUAUAAGCACAUUUAUAUAAGGUGAUGCAUUAUAAGUUCAUUCCACAAAUUUGGUAGAAUGAAUCAAUUUCUCAUACUUUUACUAAUUAUUAGUACAUAAGGAAUGAAAUGAUGAUGGAUCAACUCAUUUCAUUCCAUAAACCAAAUAAAAUAAUAAGGAGUGAGAAUACGAUAUACUAACUUAUUC